rnacentral:lncRNA from 1 species
CAGUGGUGUGAGUAGUUCUUUGACCUGUGGUGUCAUUGGCUAUUCACAGUGAGGCUAUUGGAUUCGACUGUAUAUUUUUCUAGUCUCUAGCCAUUCAGAUUCUUGCUGUGUAUGUUGGCUUCAGUAGGUUUAGGUUCGCUAUUUAGAAUAGGAUACACUUAGAUGAGAUCUAUCGAUCAUGGUAGAAAAAGAAAAGUCUUAUGCAAUUCGUGAGACUGAGUUUAGAAAGUCUUUGGCCAAAGCAAGUGUGAAU